rnacentral:rRNA from 1 species
GAUGAACGCUGGCGGCGUGCCUAAUACAUGCAAGUCGAGCGAACGGACGAGAAGCUUGCUUCUCUGAUGUUAGCGGCGGACGGGUGAGUAACACGUGGAUAACCUACCUAUAAGACUGGGAUAACUUCGGGAAGCCGUAGCUAAUACCGGAUAAUAUUUUGAACCGCAUGGUUCAAAAGUGAAAGACGGUCUUGCUGUCACUUAUAGAUGGAUCCGCGCUGCAUUAGCUAGUUGGUAAGGUAACGGCUUACCAAGGCAACGAUGCAUAGCCGACCUGAGAGGGUAAUAGGCCACACUGGAACUGAGAGACGGUCCGGACUCCUACGGGAGGCAGCAGUAGGGAAUCUUCCGCAAUGGGCGAAAGCCUGACGGAGCAACGCCGCGUGAGUGAUGAAGGUCUUCGGAUCGUAAAACUCUGUUAUUAGGGAAGAACAUAUGUGUAAGUAACUGUGCACAACUUGACGGUACCUAAUCAGAAAGCCACGGCUAACUACGUG